NNGGGAGUAGCUCAGGGGUAGAGCUCCUGCCUUCCAAGCAGGUAAUACGGGUUCGAUUCCCGUCUCCCGCU
rnacentral:tRNA from 1 species